ensembl:misc_RNA Y_RNA Y RNA
GGCUGGUCCGAAGGUAGGGAGUUAUCUCAAUUGAUUGUUCACAGUCAGUACAGAUUGAACUCCUUGUUCUACCCUUCUCACUACUGCACUUGACUAGUCUAAA